GACAAGAUCGCUGGCCCUUUCCACCUUGGCCAUCCACCUCUACCACGAGUUGGCCCACCAAACACUCCACACCAAGGUUAACAAGGCCAUCAAUGUGCUCCAGGCAUACCUCAAGAGCCCAUCCAGCGCUGGGCCCGGCCGCUGCAAGCCUUGUUGGGUCAAUGUGUGGGAAAUCAGCCAAGGUGGAGUUUGAGUCGGUCGGCCUCAACCAUGAGGGCUGUGUGAGCGGCAGGCUGGCCGUGAGCCUUCCUGGGAGUGCUGGGCGCCCUGGUGCCCCGGCUGAAGGCAAGCGGCCUCCCUGAGACACCCAAAGACUGGCUGACACAAGAUCUUGUGCUGGUACUGGUGUCUGAAGGCUGUGCAGUGGUGCGGACACAGGCUCAGAGUGCCCAGGUGGACCAAGAUGCUGGUUGCCGCCUGCCUGGGAGCAGAUUCACAGAGGUCAGCGCGGGGCAGCAGGACAGCGCCCUCAGCAGUGACGAUGAGUCUCUCCAUGAAGGCUGCACAGCAGCAGGCCACCGUCGCCCGAGAGCAUCCCGAGGAACACUUCAAUGUCCAGGUGUGAGGAUGUCAAGCCACCACAAGCCAGGAGGGAAGUGGCUGCUGGGGCCAAGACAGCAGGUGAAGCAGAACCCUUAAGCCUCAGGUCUUCACCC